rnacentral:rRNA from 1 species
UCCCAGUUCGGAUUGUAGUCUGNAACCCGACUACAUGAAGCUGGAAUCGCUAGUAAUCGCGGAUCAGAAUGCCGCGGUGAAUACGUUCCCGGGUCUUGUACACACCGCCCGUCACACCAUGGGAGUCGGAAAUGCCCGAAGUCGGUGACCGAACCGAAAGGAAGGAGCCGCCGAAGGCAGGUCUGGUGACUGGGGUGAAGUCGUAACAAGGUACC